GACGUAGGGCGCGAGCGUUGUCCGGAUUUAUUGGGCGUAAAGAGCUCGUAGGCGGUUUGGUAAGUCGGGUGUGAAAUCUCCACGCUCAACGUGGAGGGGCCACCCGAUACUGCCAUGACUGGAGUCCGGUAGGGGAGUGUGGAAUUCCCGGUGUAGCGGUGAAAUGCGCAGAUAUCGGGAGGAACACCGGUGGCGAAGGCGGUUCUCUGGGCCUUACCUGACGCUGAGGAGCGAAAGCGUGGGGAGCGAACAGG
rnacentral:rRNA from 1 species